GACUAUUCCCUGUGUUUUUGUUUUUUAUAUUUCUGUUGUAAAUUAUUGUCUUUUAUUGAGAUAGUAAUGUGUUUUUAUUACAUGUACAGCACUUUGGCUCAACCUGACUAUUCCCUGUGUUUUUGUUUUUUAUAUUUCUGUUGUAAAUUAUUGUCUUUUAUUGUGAUAGUAAUGUGUUUUUAUUACAAGUACAGCACUUUGGCUCGACCAAAGUCUUGAACCAGCAAGACCAGCCUGGCCAGCUUGUCCAGCCUGGUAAACCAACUAAACCAGCCUAACACCAGCUAAAACCAGCCAAGCAACCCGGGAAACUGGCUAUGGACGUUUGUUCACUUUCUUCUAGCUCUUAUUAUUAUUUAUAACAUCUGUUUUUGUGUUUAAUCCAUAGAGCUGAGUAUGAGCAUUUCCCCUCCUGGAUUGAGCCAGGAGGAUCUAUUACUCUGUCAAAGCUCCUCUCCCUCUGGGGGAACCUUGUCUGCUUUCAGUGUAGGGACUGCAUGGUGUGACACUUUAAAAGGGUGAGUAAACUAACUCACUGUAAUAAUUUUGUAGAAGUUGUGCUUUGAGUAGUGCGUGCUUUUGUUCUCUUUUUGUCCCUCACAGUUAGCAGGCAUUGUGACCUAGUGGACCAGACCUGCCCAUCUGAGGAGGGAAAACCCACCAUGUAAUAGUGUAAAGGAAGCCCCACAAUCUGCAAAACAACUUUGGAUUUAGAUUGAGGGUCCACAGGUUCCUCCAUCCCCUCAGCAGGAGUUGGUGUUGUCAGCUAUUUAAAGGGGACCCCAGCCACAGUACCGCAUCAGAGACAGGGUGUGUUCACUGUUGGCCUAAUAUAUUAUUGGUCAACUGAACUUGGCUAACGCUAAACACAACCACACCUUAACAUAAGCAAAAACAGUCUACCUGCUCACCUGGUGAUGGCCCACUAUAUGGGUAAUAGUCAAAUGACUUCCACAAGGCCUUUCUAUGACACUGAAUAGGAACAGACCACAGCUCUGAUUUAGGAGAUCUUGCUGACCAACUAUUGCUGAGUUGAUUUAACAGAAAGCCUCUUUAAAAUGAGAUUAUGUUUCUCAGAAGAAAGAGAAAUUGUGCCUCAUGUUUAAAAAAAAAUCUAAAGUCUGCAAGCCAGACUGACUCUUUUCACUUUUUUAAGGUUAC